rnacentral:misc_RNA from 1 species
AAGUCGUAACAAGGUUUCCGUAGGUGAACCUGCGGAAGGAUCAUUAGCGAGAGCCUCUGCUCCCAUGGUUUGGGAGCAAGCGCGCCAUCCUUGUGUUGUGUGUGGUGUUGUGCGCACUCUGUGCACAUGCAUUUUUCAACAACUCGUUUAUUCAUUUCUGAAAUCUUUGGCUCACACGAGCACAAACAACCGAAAACUGCCAGCAAUGGAUCACUCGGUUCUC